ensembl:lncRNA
UGAAAAUACCUGAGAACCCUUUAUUACAAAUUUUAGGUGCACACAAUGCCACUGCUAGUGGUUUUGUUUGGGUUUUUUUUUUUGAGACAAGGUCUCUAUGUAGUUCAAACUGGCCUUGACCUCACUAUGUAGCCCAGGCUGGUCUCUAACAGCAAUUCUCCUGCCUCAGCUUCCCGAGCUGAGAUUACAGUCAUGCGCCACCAUGCCCUACUGGCUUUGUUUAAAGUGCUCUCUUAUUUUUAUUUUUGUGGCACCCUAGUGUUUGUAAAUACUUCCAUAAUACCUCAAUUCAAGUAUCCUUUCACACCUGAGAGUAGGAAGUGCAAAACAGACCCUGCAUUGGCAAGACUUAGAAAGAUCUCUUUCCACCCAAGGCCUAGUGGUGAAACUAUGACACUACGACACGGGAGCUCCAGCAGGCAGUUUGUAUCAUUGAGAACUCCAAAAGGUUCAUCAUCACUGGCCUAGAGGAAUGGUGACAGGAAUCUUGAAUCACAGACGAGAUGAGACAUGUUUCUCCAUCUAUAAAUAGUGUUAUCAUCAAUCUGCCCUUCCCACACUGAAAUGUCAGAACAAAUGAGGAAAUACAACUUUCAAAAGCGCUUUCAGCUUUUUUGAAGGAAAACAGUAAAAAAGGGCCGGGGAUUUAGCUCAGUGGUUCCACCGCCUGCUUGCCUGCUUCUCAGCGCAAGGACCCAAGUUCGAUCCCUGGAACAAAAAAAAAAAAAGAAAGAAAGAAAGUUAUUUUGAAGAGUCC